rnacentral:rRNA from 1 species
GAUGAACGCUGGCGGCGUGCCUAAUACAUGCAAGUCGAACGAACAGACGAGGAGCUUGCUCCUCUGACGUUAGCGGCGCGCGUGUGAGUAACGCGUGUAUAACCUACCUAUAUGUCUGGUAUAACUUCGGGACACCGGCGCUAAUACCGGAUAAUAUCUUGAACCGCAUUGUUCAAUAGUGAAAGACGGUGUUGCUGUCACUUAUAGAUGGUUCUGCGCCGCAUUGGCUAGUUGGUAAGGUAACGGCUUACCACGGCGACGAUGCGUAAACGACCGGUGAGGCGGAUCGGCCACACGGGAGCGGGAACACGGACCAGACUCCUGCGGGACGCAGCAGAAGGGAACGUGCCGCAGUGGGGGAGAGCCUGGCGGAGUGACGGCGAGUGUGAGACGGAAGUCUUCGGAUCGUAAAGCUGUGUUACUGGGGGAAAACAACUGUGGAAGUAGAUAUAGCCGUAUUGACGGUAACUGAUCAGAAAGCAACGGCUAACUACGUG